CCCUCCCAGAAGCUCUGAGCUAGGGACGGGCCCUGGUGACAGUCGUGGAGAGAGCAACACGCGCCUGAAGGUCUGUGCGCGCUGACGCCGGGCAGGAUGACCUAUCAUUGCUGGUGGAUUGGAUGUGGUUUUGAAAAGAAGGUAAAAGAAUAUUCUUUACUUAGAACAAUGCCUGGCACACAGAAGGUGUGCAAUGACUAUGUUUUGAAUGAAUUAAAUAAUUCACGUGAAAGCAUUGAGAACAGUGUCUGGCAUAGAGUCGAUGAUGCUCAAUAAAUACAACUUUGACAGGGGAAUGGAAAUGAACCAGCACAUAGUGUGUCGAUUCUUUCUCAGGCUCGUAACAUUACGGAAUCCCUGUUGAAGUGCAAGCUGGACUGGCGGAAAUCAGAUUUCCCAUAUCUUCUCAAAGGCUGUUUGUCAAGGACCUGGACCAAAAUGGAUGCUGAAUCAGUGAUGAUCAAAUGGAAAUGAAAUUGAAUUGCAGAGUUGCAAGAUACAUUCAGUCAUAGUCUAGUUUGACUCCUAUAAUAAUCAUCCUGCAAAAGCAAGUUUUGUUAUAUCAUUUACCCAUAUUAAAAAUAAAGAAACAGAGGGGUGCUUGGGUGACUCAGUCAGUUAAGUGUCUGGCUCUUGAUUUCAGCUCAGGACAUGAUCUCAUGAUCUCAUAUUGAGCUAGUUGUUAGCACAGAGCCUUCUGGGUAUUCUCUCCCUCCCUCUGUCUCUGUCCCUCACCUCCACACACAUGUGUGUGCCCGCCCAUGCGCAUGCUCUGUCUCUCAAAAUAAAUAAAUAUAUUUUUUUUAAAUAAAGAAAACAGAAGGACAGAUAUCAUAUGUUUUCACUCAUAUGUGGAUCUUGAGAAAGUGGACAGAAGACCAUGGGGGAAGGGAAGGGGAAAGAAAAUAGAUACACAGAGGGAGGGAGGCAAACCACGAGAGACUAUUAAAUACAGAGAACAAACUAAGGGUGGAUGGGGUGAUGGGGGAGAGGAAAAAUGGGUGAUGGGCAUUGAGGAGGGCACUUGUUGGGAUGAGCACUGGGUGUUGUAUGUAAGCCAAUUUGACAAUAAAUUAUAUUCAUAAAAUAAAACAGAACCUCACUCUACUAAGAACUUCUUUCCAAUUGGUGAUACUUAGGUGAUAUUUGUUAGGCUUUCCAUCAAGUAGUUGACUGUUAUUCUUUGCUUUUCUUUAUAAUUUUUCUUUAUAAGUUUUCUCCUUGAUGGCGGACCCUAAGCCUUACUUAGAUCUCUAUGCCCAGCAUGAGGUGUGGCAAGUGGUAGACACUAAAUUGGAUGCCUGGAGAGAGAGACCGAGACAGACAGAAGACAUACACAGAGACUGACUGACUUGUAUCUUUGAGAAAAGAAGGACACAGAAAAUUGCAGGGUAACCAGACCCUGUCUGAGAGAGAAUUCUUUCUUUGUGCUAACAGUGGAGAAAUGCGGGGCUGUCAUAUGAGGAGCAGUCUUACUCUUUGUGUAUCAGGCGAGGAAACUGAGCCCCAAAGAAGCUCACAACCUCCCCUAGCUCCCAUGGCUGAGGCUGGAAGUCCAAGAUCAUGAUGCCAGCAGAUUUGGUGUGGCUGGUGAGGACCCACUUCCUGAUUGGUAGAAGAGUCAUCAGUAGUCAAAAGAUGUCCUUGGAAUUUCUUUGGUGGAAUUAUCCAAAGCAUUGCUAGCAAUAAUAUUUGAGCAUCUCAUUCAUCAGCAAAUGGCAGGAAAGGACCCCAAAAGAUUAAUGAUGGGUAGCAGCUUACUGUUACUGGCAUUUUGAAAGAAGAAGCCUGACAUAAGCAAGGCCAUAAAAAUAAAGAAAUUAUAAUAGUCAAGUUUUAGGUCUUUGUCACAGGUGAAUAGGGAGCUAUUUCUUGGAGGGAAGAAGGGCACAUUCUUACACACACACACAGCACACACACUUGGAAAAGCUUCAAUAGCAAUUUCAGUGCAACAAGUAGUGAGUCCAUAUUGCUAAGAGAAUUCAGAAUAAAAUGUGAUCAGAAUCAGGUAGGGGUGGAGUGGUGGUAAUUACUACCACGAAUGGACUCCAGGAGGACAAAAGCUUUAAGUAGAGUUUUGGAAAAAGAAUCACUCUUUUUUUCAAAAAAAAUUUUUUUAACGUUUAUUUUAUUUUUGAGACAGAGAGAGACAGAGCAUGAACGGGGGAGGGUCAGAGAGAGAGGGAGACACAGAAUCUGAGACAGGCUCCAGGCUCUGAGCAGUCAGCACAGAGCCCGACGCGGGGCUCGGACUCACAUACCGAGAGAUGGUGACCUGAGCCAAAGUCGGACGCUUAACCAACUAAGCCACCCAGGUGCCCCGGGAAAAGAAUCACUCUCGAGGACUUUCUGAUUCAUUAAGAUCUUACCAUCACUGCAAAUACUCAGUUUGUCUGCUUGUGAUUCAGUCAGACUCAUUUCAAACAUUUCCCCCUUACCAGCCUUCCAGGAGGCACCAGAGAGAGCAAUCCAUUGGAAUCAUAUCCUAGUGAACUUACUCAGGCAAGUUAUUUUCAAGACUUUUUACCAAUGCUGGAAAUCAAUUGUUUUGUUGACUCUGCAAAUAUUCUUUCAUUGUGUUGUUCUGCCCUGGAUACAAUUGUAAUUGUGGUAUAGUCAAACAUGUAAAUGAAAUAAAUAGCUUUUUUCUGUUUUUGUUUUGUUUUGUUUUGUUUUGUUUUGGGUGGGAAGGAGGGCAGUUGGCCCAUUCUAAAUCUCUGAGCAAGGUACUGUAUGGUUUACAAGAAGGGCCAAAUGUAGCCCCUUCAUGCUCUUAAGGGACAACAAUAGGAGAAAUGACAGAAGACAAUCAGUGAUUAAUUACCAAAUGAGUGAUAGAUACCAGGUGGUCCUAACCUGAGCUUCUCAGCCCCACAAAGUAAUGAGGGGGACAUUUGUGGGGACAAUGUGGGGACAAUGAGGGAGGGGUGUCUGUGAGCUAUUUUCAGUACUUCAAAAAGACUA